UACGUAGGGUGCGAGCGUUAAUCGGAAUUACUGGGCGUAAAGCGAGCGUAGUCGGUUAUUUAAGUCGGGUGUGAAAUCCCCGGGCUCAACCUGGGAAUUGCAUUCGAUACUGGAUAGCUAGAGUUCGGCAGAGGGAAGCGGAAUUUCCGGUGUAGCGGUGAAAUGCGUAGAUAUCGGAAGGAACAUCAGUGGCGAAAGCGGCUUCCUGGACCAGAACUGACGAUCAGGCUCGAAAGCGUGGGGAGCAAACAGG
rnacentral:rRNA from 1 species